rnacentral:rRNA from 1 species
GAUUGGCUCAGAACGAACGCUGGCGGCAGGCCUAACACAUGCAAGUCGAACGCACCGCAAGGUGAGUGGCAGACGGGUGAGGAACACGUGGGAACAUGCCCUUUGGUUCGGAAUAACUCAGGGAAACUUGAGCUAAUACCGGAUAAGCCCUUUUGGGGAAAGAUUUAUCGCCGAAGGAUUGGCCCGCGUCCGAUUAGCUAGUUGGUGUGGUAAUGGCGCACCAAGGCGACGAUCGGUAGCUGGUCUGAGAGGAUGAUCAGCCACAUUGGGACUGAGACACGGCCCAAACUCCUACGGGAGGCAGCAGUGGGGAAUAUUGGACAAUGGGCGCAAGCCUGAUCCAAGCCAUGCCGCGUGAGUGAUGACGGCCCUAGGGUUGUAAAGCUCUUUCACCCACGACGAUAAUGACGGUAGUGGGAGAAGAAGCCCCGGCUAACUUCGUGCCAGCAGCAGC